AUGCACUUUCUCAUGAUGAUCCUUCCUGCUGGUGGUCCCCUAGUGAAGCAAUCUGAAAUGGACCCAGAACACAGUUUGGGCUCCCUCCCUGGAAGACACAGGCAUUGGUGUCGCUUGGGAAAUGUUCUGUUACAAACGCUCACAGACAGACGGGUUGUCCUAGAUGAGGUAUUCAAUUCAGGAGUGAAGCUUCAGGAACGGAGCUGCUGAAGAGAAAGACAACAGACACCGUCGCUGUCUCUAUUCUCCUGUCCAGCUAAUGACAUAUGGAUCUAGAUGGCAUAUGGAUCUGACCCCUGCUGGCUGUAUGACCUCAAGACAGCAAUAUCCCCCCGUCUGCCUUUGAUUUCUCAUCUUUAAAAUGAAUCUAUAACAGUAUUUUUUCAUGUAAUGAUGGCAAUGAAAAUCCCUACAGUGAGUUACACAUUUGAACACGAGUGGAGACUCCAAUGCACCUUCUGGCGAUGAUCCUUCCUGCCGGUGCUCCUGCCAAUGUCUGGUUCUAGAAGAACCCCUUUGCUGGGGAGACAUUACUAUAGAAG
rnacentral:lncRNA from 1 species